rnacentral:lncRNA from 1 species
GAUAUUAUUGCCAAACAUUUUUCAUCUUUAUUUAUUAUUAUUAUUUUUUGAACAGUUUAUCUUUAUCUUCUAAACACCCUUCAACACACAAAACUAAAUUCUGCGGCCAAUGUCGUCACACUUUCCUUCUUAACUGUUUGAGAGCAUCAUAAGUCCAAGGUUUUUCAAUUCGUCUUCAAUUUCUUCCCCCUUAAAACCAUUCUUGAGUCCAAAAGAGGAAGAUCAAUUUAGAUGAAUCGAGUAUUAUUUAUUCACUCUCUUUAUAAAGACGAGAUCUCCAUAGCUUCUGUUUCCUUCGGUCUUCAAGGUAUGUAUUUAUUUGGCUUCUUUAAUUUUCUUUUUCUUUUUCUUAGUUAUAUAAGUGUCUGUCUUUUAUGAUUUAUAUUCAUAUUGAUGAUGAAUCAUAUAUAUAAAUUAAAAAGAAAACUAAGCAAGUAUUGAAGCAGCUAGCCAUAUCUUAAUCUUGUACUGCCUUCUUUUUACUAUAAGGGUUUUUAUUUUUAUUUUCAUUUCUAUCGAGUAUUAAUUUAAAUAAAAAAAGGUAUAAGUCUAUGAAAGUGUAAUUCCCAUGGUAUCCAUAAAAUAGUAGAUUGAAUGUGGAUUAGUGUCAGAUCCGCAUCAAAUCUGCAGUGCAACGCAUGGAUUUAAUCAAUCCAUAAAAUGGUGAAUUUUUGUAAAUAAUCCACAAAAUCGGACAAUGUGGGACCACAUACAAUCCGAUAUUUUACAAAUUUGGAAAGUGCAGGAAAUUCUUUGUAAGGAUAAUUUUGUGGGCGUCAUUAAUAAAAUAAUUGUAUUUAGAAAUGGCACAACCAAGUUAAUUAUGAUGUUACCAUAUAGGGUUAAUACUUGAAAAAAAUAAAAUAAAAUGAUUAUGGGGCUGUCGAAGGAGCAUAGCAAGUGAUUGUUGCUCAAAUUUGUUUGUCCUUAUCUUUUAUCUGAAGCGGCGUAUAAAUCUGGAUUCUCUUACUAUUAUACCUUUGGGACAAAACUAUUGUUACUUCGUGGGUUCUUCAAAUUAAUAUUUCUUGCUUUUUAAAUCAUUUUUGGAUGCUGGUGAGGAAGAUGAUAGAGAGAAUGGAGUACCAAUAUUUCACUCUCUUUAUAAGAAGUAAUCACCUCACGGUAUGUUUAUUUAUCUAGCAUUUAUUUGUUUAUUUUCUUUCCUUUAAUCACAUAAUCGUUAUUGCACUUUAAUGGCUAAAAUAGAACAUUUUAAAAUUAUUUCUUUGGCUAAAAUAGAACAUUCUAUUUCUUUGGUGUUGUUGUAAUAGAAAAUGAUAAAUGACAUACAUACAUACACACACACGCACACACAUAUGAAAAUUUCUAAUUUGAGAAUUCAAGAUUAAAUUAAAGUCUGGGAAGAGUUGGUAGUGAUGUAAAUGGAUUUUUACGUUGUUUUAAAUAUGUCUUGAAUUUUAAUGAAGUCUGGGAUUCUCAUAUUGGAAGUUAAACUAUAUAUUUAUAAAAGUAUAUACAUUGUUUUUCUCUAAUAAAAUGGUUGAAUGACAUUUUUCUUAAAUAAUGUAUAAUUAAAAAAUUAAAAAUUUACUUUGGAGAUCAUUUAUGAAGAUAUACAAUAAUGAGUAUUUUAUUAUAACUAAAAGAAGAACGAAUGAGGUCCAUCGAAUUACUGUAAACAAGCAUUCACAUUUUGCAAAUAUAUGAGCAUCCUUAUUAGAGAAGAAUUUGGGUUGAGUGUGUGUGUGUGUGCGCGUAUAUAUAUAUAUAUAUAUAUAUAUCUGCAUGUUAAAAUCAUUUAGACAAAAAAAAAAAAAAUGAACUCCAAUACACUAGAAGGUAAAAAUAAUGCUUUUUGGUCAGUAUUUGUUUUUUGUCUUUUCGCUCAAUUUGUAUUUCAAAAUCAUUUAGAGGUCCGAACCUAAGCAAAACAUUGAGUUCUAAUAUUAGUCUGUAUUUGCAGAACCCAAUAACCAUUUUUUGUUUUGGUUGUAUUAAGUGGAAUGACUCCACUCCUAAUUGUUAAAUCCUAUUAUAUUUUAAAAACGAAAAGAAAGCAAACAAUUGUCACGAUUUUGGCCAACAUAUAAUAGUUGUUUCCCUUUCUCUUUGGUUUAGCGAAGAAUAUAAUAAGAAUAAAUAAUUAGAAGUGAGGUCAUUCCAUAUAAUGCAGUAAGAUUGCUAAUAUUUGAAGUCCUCAUUUUAUUUACGAAAAAAAGGAUCACUUAAUGGGAAGCUCACUAUAUAUAUAGUGAGAGAGAAAGAGAGAGAGAGUUAUUAUCUGGUGAGUUUCUCACACUUUAAUAAAGUAACGUAUGAGCUGAAAUACAAGAAAAGCACGUGUCAAUGCAUCAUAUUUUGUCUUGUAGUGUAUUUGAAUUUGUGUUUUUAUAUUUUUUAGAUUAUACCUUAUCAUAUUAAAGUAAAGGGAGCCCCUAAGUUACAUUUAAUGUAACUUACACCACUUACAUGAACAGUGCGUGGUGUGGGGCCUACGCACUGUUCAUGUGAGUGGAUGUAAGUUACAUUAAAUGUAACUUAACAUUUGCCUAAAGUAAAGGAUCAUCAUAAGAAGUGCAAUCUACACACGUGCGCGCAUGCAUGUACAUAGGGAAAUUUCCAAUUCUUGAUUCUCGAAUGAGCCACUAAUUGAAAUCCAAAGAUCCAAAACUUUCUUUUUUUUAAUAUUUUGUUGGCUCCAACACGUGCAACAACAUAUGCAGCCGAAUGAUAACCUUUGGAUUUAAAUAUUUUGUUCUUAGAUGCUUUUCCAACCUAGGAACAAAAUGGUGGUCUUUGAAUCCAAAGGUUAACACCAUGUGCAGCCAACCAAAUGGAAGAAAAAUGAAAAAAAGGGGUUUGGAAUCCAACGGUCCAUCCGGAAAUCCUUGAUCGAAAAAUUCCCCAUAUAGAUGUUACAAUCUGGGGAUCUUGGGUGUAUAUAUAUAAUCUGGGGAUCUUGGGUAUACAUAUAUAUAUAUCACGCCAAGGUGCGGACAUCUGCAUCAAUUUUCAUGCACAACCUUUUAUAGAGUUGUAAAAUAGUUUACAAUGUUAUUUAGUAUAAAGAUUUGCGUUUGCACAAAAUUUCAUGCUAUCAUCUAUGAUCACUCUGUAUUUAUAGUAUAAUGCCUGGAAUCAAGUGAGUAAGGUUCAUUUCAGUUGUUAUUAUUAGUGAUUAAUUUUUUUUUUAUAAUUAUGUGAAUUAUUAUUAUUACUCCUUGAAUUUUAAUUUUUGGGCCUAAGAGUUAAAGCUUUCUGCGCCUAGUGAUUUUAUUUUUUUGGGUAGUUCUAAAACCCAAUAAGAAUUAGGUCUUCUUUUAUUGUAAGGUGGUAGACUUUCUUUCUUACAAAAAUUAGUUUUAGAGACUGCUCACAGAAUGAAGAUUCUUGGAAAAUGUUAUGAGGGAAAGAGAGUAAAGAGGUAUUUUUUUUUAAUAUCUCAAUUUACUUGUUAAGUUUACUGUAAGGUGGCUAAACUUUCUUUCUCACAAAAAUAUGUCGUGGGAUAUAUCUAUGUUAUAGAAUGAACUUAUGAGAGGACGAUUUAGUUUGAUAAAGAUCAGUUUUGACUUAUUGUGUUCUUUUAAGAAACAGUAAGGAAUAAUUAAGUUUUUUCGAGGUUUUGUGUACAUAUGAUAGUGACCUACUCCAAAACGAUUUAAAAUAAUGCAUUUUUUUUAUUUUUGCAAAUAUGUAUGUUUUUGUACUGAAACUAGACAUUGUAAGGUCUCUUAGAAUUUUUUAAAUUCAAAUAUACUUAAAUUCGAAUUUUAAUGGAUUUUUGAAUCAUACAAUUGGAUAUUAAAAAUUUACGGUUUCUGUAAUGUUGCCAAAUGAUGAAAAACUUUUGACCAAUCAAACCUUCUUUAAAAAUCAUGAACUUUUGCAGAUGGACCUUUUUACACGGCAUAUUAGAUACUGAGGUCUUAGUUCCUCGUUUCUAGUUAAUAUGAAUUAACGAGUGAAAGGGACUUAAUUUGGGAUUUUUUUUAUGGCAUGAUUAAAUGGCCUAAAAAUCAAGUUUAUUUUUAAUAGAUUUUGAAUGCAAUUUGCCUUGAAAUUUUACUGUAUACCUUUAUGUGCCUAUAUGAUCCCUAUGAAAUUUCAUAAAUAUUGGAUAUUGAUUUUUUUUUCUUAUUAAAACAAUCUGAGAUUGAGGAUUGGUUAGUAACUUUUUCUGUUAUAAGGAGAAUGGAAAGCAAGAUUUGUGAUAUUACUUGAAAUUGUUUCUUAAAGACAUAGGAGCUGAGAAUUUUAUGUGAUAUUUUUAGUUGUAUCAUGAAUAUCAUCUAAGGUAUUAAACAAAAAUAAAUAAAUAAGUGCUAAGGGUGAUAAGCAUGUUGAAACAAGGAAAUUAUCUUGUAAAGUAAAUUUGGACUCGUUUAUCAUGAUUAAGACCCAUAGUGCUUAAUAGUUUAUUGUUACAUUUUCACAGGAGAUUAGUCUUUGAUGUUCAGUUAUGAUGAGUAUGUUUAUUGUUGUGACUGCCAAGAGUAAUCUUUGAUGUUCAAUUACGGUGACUAGGUUUAUUGUUGUGACUGCCAAGAAGUAAAUAAGCUAAACUUUUAACUACAUUCACUUUGAACAUGUGUGUGUGUGUGAGUGCUGUCUUAAAGAGGUUUUUUUUUUAAUGUUUAUUAUAAGAUUUGUGAUACAGAUAUGUGAUUAAGUGUUUGUUUUAUCCAUUAGAAUAGGCAUGUAUGAUGUUAUGUUAGGAAUUGCAUUCAAAGUAAUGUAUGAAGCAAUUUUUUCCGUACAAAAUAUCUUGUGUUCUAGGAUGCCCAACAUAUUCUUUUAAUUGUCCAUUUGUGUGUUUAUUUGGAGUGUUAGUUAUAAUUUAAUAAUCAAAAUGUAUGACAGUGAUAAUUUACAUUGAUUAUGAUAUAGUAGAGAUGGAUUUGUCAAAGCCAAAUCAUUUGAACCAAAACUCAAACUAAACCCAAAGUAAAUUAGGUGGAUUGUUUUUUGGUUUCGGUAGUAACAAGUGUAGGGUAGCUUGGAUUGAAACCCUGACGAAUUUGCCUAGAAUUUCUAAUAAUUAAGAUUUUUUUUUUGAAUUUUGAAACAUUUGAGUGACAAAAUACUAUGUGCAUAUUAUAAUUUUAUUAGUUAGUUGUACUACAAAGUAUAGAAGUUCUCAAUAUUUUGCACAAUUGCUAGACACCAUGCUUUUUAAUUUCCAAUUACAAAUUAUUCAAGCCGAAGAUGCCCAGCUGGCCAAGAUUAAUUCAAUGAAUUUGGAGAGCACAAAUCUCAAAAUUAUUGUACUAUUACCAUUUGAGUUGCCUGUCAAUUAAAUAAUAAUAGUGGUAACCUCACUUUUCAAUUACAAAUUACUAACACAAAACAAGUAAAUUUUAGCCACAAGCAUAAACCGGGUCUAUGCAAUUUCGGAAACCACUCAGAAACUUUAUUAUUACUCUUUUGUUGUUGUUGCAACUUGAUCAUCAUCAACUGCUCAGCUUAUUGUUGCAUACACUGCAAAUUCUUUGUUCAUGGGUUGUGUCUAAACAUGUCCAAAGAAAUCACCAUCAUCCUCUUCACAAACUACACACUCUUUUUGAAUACUUUGGCGAACAAUGAGUCCAAGACUUGUAAUGUCUGUGAUGAAUUAAUUGAAGGCAUCAGCUUACGCUGUAAUAAUGCUACAGAUUGUGAAUUUUAUUAUCAUGUUGCCUGUUGAUACCCCUACACAAGAAGCUUGAAACACAAGUCUCACUGAUGAUAAUGAUUUGGUAUAUUUAAUGAAGAACAAUGCGCUGUUUUAAGUGUUUCGAAUAUGCAAGCGCCACGAUUACUGUGAAGAUUCAUUCUGUAGGUUUAGUAAGUGUAAUUGGAAUGUUCGUAUUGAAUUUAUUCCUCUGCCGCUUGUUGUAAGACAUUAAAGUUACCAAUUGCAUCAUCUUAUGCUUACGGAUUGUGUAAAAGUUUAUGUGUGUAAACAGGAAGAACUCCUAAGGAUCAUGUUUAUCACCGUGGGGAAUGCGGCUUCCUUGCUCAUACUGAAUGCCCCUUAUGUGAGGUAAGUUAACUUUCACCUACAUUUUACCUCAUAAAUUAGGAAUUUAGUGAUUCAAAAUUGUGUUAUUGCUGAAUAUGUUCUGCUUGGCUCAAUAAUUGAAGUAAAUCUAUGAAUAUGUUGUAACAACGCAAGUUUUUAUUAUUGGUAACAAUUUUGUCAUUUACACUCCUCAAAUGUUGCGUAAGAUGACAGUUGUAACCAAAAAAAGAGAAAUUUAUCUUUAAUUAUAGAGCAAUGCUAACUAGCCAAAAUAACGGCAGAGGGAAGACAGAAACGGCAGCACAUGUUGCCGUUUCCUAUCCUCUCUCUCUUCUGUUAUGGGCCCACAAUAAAUUUAGAAAAAUGAAUAUAUAAUGGCGCACAUGCGUGAAUAAAGUGAAAACAUUUUUUUCUGUUAUUGGACAAGAGUUUUAACGCUCCAUAAUGAUUAAAGUGGGAGGCAAAAUCGAGUUAUUUACCACAACUAAUAUCUGCAUUUCUAGUCCUGCAUUUGAUCGAUUUCAAUAACAUAAAAAAAAGAAAAUCUACAAAAUCUCAAUCUCUUGGCUCUGUGUUGUGUCGAGGGCAAAGGAAAAUCUGCAAGGUUGGUUGGCCUGGUCAUGACAAAAGAAAACCUGCAAGGUUGCUGUGGGUAUAGCUUUUAUCACGGGAAAAAAAAAACGCAAACAAAUCGUUUGCUCGAUGUAAAAAUAGCUGGUUCUGUGUGAUGGUGGGUGUAACUUUUGUCAAUAAGAGAUGAGAUUGCAGCAGCUCUGAUAUCCUUCUUGGACUUCUCUUUUGUUUUGUUUUUUAAUUAAUAUUUACCUUUUUUAAAAGUAAUUGUGGGCCCAUGAAGAGGAAAUGAUAAGUGAACAAAACGACAGCAAGUGACUGUCAUUUUUGUCUUCCCUCUGUCAUGACUAUGUUCACUUAUCAUUUUCCUUAAUUAUAUAGGCAAAGAAAACUGUGCCUACAUGGGUUCUGUUUAAGGAUGGCAAAAACUAAGUCUAGGUUCAGCCUUUCUGGUUCCGGACUCAUAUGCCAAUUUGUCUUCUUGGAUAUGGAUUAGAACCCAGAUUUUUUAACUGCAGGUCCGAAGCGGGUUCAACUCGGAAAAAGUUUGGGUUCCCGGAUUCUGGAUCUUAAACCCGAGUUGUUUGGUGAAGGGAGGAAGAUGAAUUCUCCAAGCAUGCUACUUUUGGCUCUUUGGAAUUUGCAGAAAGAGUAAAAGGUAGAACAAAUUUAUGAGAUCUCAACUAAAUUUACUUACAUCAAUAAUAAACUUUACAAUUAUAUCAAUAUUCUGUGUUUGAAUUCUGUAUUUGGCUACUCACAACAACAAAAACUUCAAUAAUUACCGAAGCGCCGACAAAAAGAGGCUAGUGGUUUCUUUGAGAUAUCGACUGAGGCACUGGGGUGGCGGCUAGUGUGGGGCUUUAGGGUUUGUUCAGCGUUUUUGUUUUUGUUUUUGUUUUUGUUUUUUUGUAACUUUUUGCUUUAUAUUUAUAUUUUAUAAUAAAAAUUAAUUAAUUAAUAAAUCAUAAAAUUCGGGUCUGGUUUUCGGAUAUUCGGGUUUAGCUGAACCCAGAACUCAACCCGGAAACAUCCGAGUUUUAAAAAAGGCUUUCGGAUUUCGCAUUUUUAUACAUCUGGACCGGGUUGAACUCAGACCGAAUCAUUCGGGUUUGUUCGAGUCAGGUCUAGAAAAAUUUGCCAUCCCUAGUCAUGUUAAUAAGAGAAUAACAUCAAAGAAUAACAACAUAAAUGAAUUGCUGAAGCCUAGAGCUUUAUGAAGUGGGAAAAUGACAAGUGAACAUAGCCACGAUAGAGGGAAGAUAGAAACAGUAGCCACUUGUUGUCGUUUCGUUCACUUAUCGUUUCCUCUUCAUGGGCCUACAAUUAUUUUAAAAAAAGUAAAUAUUAAUUAAAAAAUAAAACAAAAGAGAAGCCCGAGAAGGAUAUCAUAGCUGCUGCAAUCUUAUUUCUUCUAUACUUUUUCUCUACUCUAUCUUUUAUUAACAAAAGCUAUACCUACCAUCACACAGAAUCAACUAUUUUUACAUCGAAGCAAAUGAUUUGUUGGUGGUUUUCUUUUGCCGUGACAAAACCUCGACAAUUUUCUUUUGCUGUGACCACGCCAACCAACCUUGCAGAUUUUCCCUUGCCCUCGGCACAACACAGAGCCAACAUAUUGCAGAUUUUUUAUUACAUUUUUUUUUAUGUUAUUGAAAUUUUGCAAAUGCAGGGCUGGAAAUGCAGAUAUCAAUUGUGGUAAACAAUUUGAUUUUGCCUCCCAUUUUAAUCAUUAUGGAGCGUUAAAACUCUUGUCCAAUAGUAAGAAAUUCUUUUUCACUUGCAUGUGCGCAAUUAUAUAUUCAUUUUUUUUUAAACUUACUGUGGGCUUAUAACAAAAGAAGAGGACAAGAAACGGCAUCACAUGUUACCGUUUAACAACUUUUGUGUUAAAAUAGUUUAACAACUUUUGUGUUAUUAGUUGUUUAAGUGCUGCACAGAUUGCUGCAUAAAGUAAUCAUCUCGAGACAUUAAGCUUGCUUUUUUAGACUUAAUAUUACAGUAGCCUUUUUCACACCUCUUCAAAAUUCUUAUAGAACUCUUUAUUAAUUGAAAGUAUUUAAAUAAUUAAAGAUAAUUUUUUUGUUGUUUUGGAAUGAAAAUCCAAUUAAACAGUUAAAUAAAUUAUUCUUACAACAAAUAUUUUAGGAAGAAGAACACAUAUGUUUCCAAGGUUUAGAGAUGCUCAUGUAAUAAUAGAAAUAGAAAUAGAAAUAUAAUAUUAAAAUAAAUGUAUUAAUAUAUAUGUUUCUGUUUAAGGAUGGCAAAAACUAAGUCUAGGUUCAGCCUUUCUGGUUCCGGACUCAUAUGCCAAUUUGUCUUCUUGGAUAUGGAUUAGAACCCAGAUUUUUUAACUGCAGGUCCGAAGCGGGUUCAACUCGGAAAAAGUUUGGGUUCCCGGAUUCUGGAUCUUAAACCCGAGUUGUUUGGUGAAGGGAGGAAGAUGAAUUCUCCAAGCAUGCUACUUUUGGCUCUUUGGAAUUUGCAGAAAGAGUAAAAGGUAGAACAAAUUUAUGAGAUCUCAACUAAAUUUACUUACAUCAAUAAUAAACUUUACAAUUAUAUCAAUAUUCUGUGUUUGAAUUCUGUAUUUGGCUACUCACAACAACAAAAACUUCAAUAAUUACCGAAGCGCCGACAAAAAGAGGCUAGUGGUUUCUUUGAGAUAUCGACUGAGGCACUGGGGUGGCGGCUAGUGUGGGGCUUUAGGGUUUGUUCAGCGUUUUUGUUUUUGUUUUUGUUUUUGUUUUUUUGUAACUUUUUGCUUUAUAUUUAUAUUUUAUAAUAAAAAUUAAUUAAUUAAUAAAUCAUAAAAUUCGGGUCUGGUUUUCGGAUAUUCGGGUUUAGCUGAACCCAGAACUCAACCCGGAAACAUCCGAGUUUUAAAAAAGGCUUUCGGAUUUCGCAUUUUUAUACAUCUGGACCGGGUUGAACUCAGACCGAAUCAUUCGGGUUUGUUCGAGUCAGGUCUAGAAAAAUUUGCCAUCCCUAGUCAUGUUAAUAAGAGAAUAACAUCAAAGAAUAACAACAUAAAUGAAUUGCUGAAGCCUAGAGCUUUAUGAAGUGGGAAAAUGACAAGUGAACAUAGCCACGAUAGAGGGAAGAUAGAAACAGUAGCCACUUGUUGUCGUUUCGUUCACUUAUCGUUUCCUCUUCAUGGGCCUACAAUUAUUUUAAAAAAAGUAAAUAUUAAUUAAAAAAUAAAACAAAAGAGAAGCCCGAGAAGGAUAUCAUAGCUGCUGCAAUCUUAUUUCUUCUAUACUUUUUCUCUACUCUAUCUUUUAUUAACAAAAGCUAUACCUACCAUCACACAGAAUCAACUAUUUUUACAUCGAAGCAAAUGAUUUGUUGGUGGUUUUCUUUUGCCGUGACAAAACCUCGACAAUUUUCUUUUGCUGUGACCACGCCAACCAACCUUGCAGAUUUUCCCUUGCCCUCGGCACAACACAGAGCCAACAUAUUGCAGAUUUUUUAUUACAUUUUUUUUUAUGUUAUUGAAAUUUUGCAAAUGCAGGGCUGGAAAUGCAGAUAUCAAUUGUGGUAAACAAUUUGAUUUUGCCUCCCAUUUUAAUCAUUAUGGAGCGUUAAAACUCUUGUCCAAUAGUAAGAAAUUCUUUUUCACUUGCAUGUGCGCAAUUAUAUAUUCAUUUUUUUUUAAACUUACUGUGGGCUUAUAACAAAAGAAGAGGACAAGAAACGGCAUCACAUGUUACCGUUUAACAACUUUUGUGUUAAAAUAGUUUAACAACUUUUGUGUUAUUAGUUGUUUAAGUGCUGCACAGAUUGCUGCAUAAAGUAAUCAUCUCGAGACAUUAAGCUUGCUUUUUUAGACUUAAUAUUACAGUAGCCUUUUUCACACCUCUUCAAAAUUCUUAUAGAACUCUUUAUUAAUUGAAAGUAUUUAAAUAAUUAAAGAUAAUUUUUUUGUUGUUUUGGAAUGAAAAUCCAAUUAAACAGUUAAAUAAAUUAUUCUUACAACAAAUAUUUUAGGAAGAAGAACACAUAUGUUUCCAAGGUUUAGAGAUGCUCAUGUAAUAAUAGAAAUAGAAAUAGAAAUAUAAUAUUAAAAUAAAUGUAUUAAUAUAUAUGUUUCUGUUUAAGGAUGGCAAAAACUAAGUCUAGGUUCAGCCUUUCUGGUUCCGGACUCAUAUGCCAAUUUGUCUUCUUGGAUAUGGAUUAGAACCCAGAUUUUUUAACUGCAGGUCCGAAGCGGGUUCAACUCGGAAAAAGUUUGGGUUCCCGGAUUCUGGAUCUUAAACCCGAGUUGUUUGGUGAAGGGAGGAAGAUGAAUUCUCCAAGCAUGCUACUUUUGGCUCUUUGGAAUUUGCAGAAAGAGUAAAAGGUAGAACAAAUUUAUGAGAUCUCAACUAAAUUUACUUACAUCAAUAAUAAACUUUACAAUUAUAUCAAUAUUCUGUGUUUGAAUUCUGUAUUUGGCUACUCACAACAACAAAAACUUCAAUAAUUACCGAAGCGCCGACAAAAAGAGGCUAGUGGUUUCUUUGAGAUAUCGACUGAGGCACUGGGGUGGCGGCUAGUGUGGGGCUUUAGGGUUUGUUCAGCGUUUUUGUUUUUGUUUUUGUUUUUGUUUUUUUGUAACUUUUUGCUUUAUAUUUAUAUUUUAUAAUAAAAAUUAAUUAAUUAAUAAAUCAUAAAAUUCGGGUCUGGUUUUCGGAUAUUCGGGUUUAGCUGAACCCAGAACUCAACCCGGAAACAUCCGAGUUUUAAAAAAGGCUUUCGGAUUUCGCAUUUUUAUACAUCUGGACCGGGUUGAACUCAGACCGAAUCAUUCGGGUUUGUUCGAGUCAGGUCUAGAAAAAUUUGCCAUCCCUAGUCAUGUUAAUAAGAGAAUAACAUCAAAGAAUAACAACAUAAAUGAAUUGCUGAAGCCUAGAGCUUUAUGAAGUGGGAAAAUGACAAGUGAACAUAGCCACGAUAGAGGGAAGAUAGAAACAGUAGCCACUUGUUGUCGUUUCGUUCACUUAUCGUUUCCUCUUCAUGGGCCUACAAUUAUUUUAAAAAAAGUAAAUAUUAAUUAAAAAAUAAAACAAAAGAGAAGCCCGAGAAGGAUAUCAUAGCUGCUGCAAUCUUAUUUCUUCUAUACUUUUUCUCUACUCUAUCUUUUAUUAACAAAAGCUAUACCUACCAUCACACAGAAUCAACUAUUUUUACAUCGAAGCAAAUGAUUUGUUGGUGGUUUUCUUUUGCCGUGACAAAACCUCGACAAUUUUCUUUUGCUGUGACCACGCCAACCAACCUUGCAGAUUUUCCCUUGCCCUCGGCACAACACAGAGCCAACAUAUUGCAGAUUUUUUAUUACAUUUUUUUUUAUGUUAUUGAAAUUUUGCAAAUGCAGGGCUGGAAAUGCAGAUAUCAAUUGUGGUAAACAAUUUGAUUUUGCCUCCCAUUUUAAUCAUUAUGGAGCGUUAAAACUCUUGUCCAAUAGUAAGAAAUUCUUUUUCACUUGCAUGUGCGCAAUUAUAUAUUCAUUUUUUUUUAAACUUACUGUGGGCUUAUAACAAAAGAAGAGGACAAGAAACGGCAUCACAUGUUACCGUUUAACAACUUUUGUGUUAAAAUAGUUUAACAACUUUUGUGUUAUUAGUUGUUUAAGUGCUGCACAGAUUGCUGCAUAAAGUAAUCAUCUCGAGACAUUAAGCUUGCUUUUUUAGACUUAAUAUUACAGUAGCCUUUUUCACACCUCUUCAAAAUUCUUAUAGAACUCUUUAUUAAUUGAAAGUAUUUAAAUAAUUAAAGAUAAUUUUUUUGUUGUUUUGGAAUGAAAAUCCAAUUAAACAGUUAAAUAAAUUAUUCUUACAACAAAUAUUUUAGGAAGAAGAACACAUAUGUUUCCAAGGUUUAGAGAUGCUCAUGUAAUAAUAGAAAUAGAAAUAGAAAUAUAAUAUUAAAAUAAAUGUAUUAAUAUAUAUGUUUCUGUUUAAGGAUGGCAAAAACUAAGUCUAGGUUCAGCCUUUCUGGUUCCGGACUCAUAUGCCAAUUUGUCUUCUUGGAUAUGGAUUAGAACCCAGAUUUUUUAACUGCAGGUCCGAAGCGGGUUCAACUCGGAAAAAGUUUGGGUUCCCGGAUUCUGGAUCUUAAACCCGAGUUGUUUGGUGAAGGGAGGAAGAUGAAUUCUCCAAGCAUGCUACUUUUGGCUCUUUGGAAUUUGCAGAAAGAGUAAAAGGUAGAACAAAUUUAUGAGAUCUCAACUAAAUUUACUUACAUCAAUAAUAAACUUUACAAUUAUAUCAAUAUUCUGUGUUUGAAUUCUGUAUUUGGCUACUCACAACAACAAAAACUUCAAUAAUUACCGAAGCGCCGACAAAAAGAGGCUAGUGGUUUCUUUGAGAUAUCGACUGAGGCACUGGGGUGGCGGCUAGUGUGGGGCUUUAGGGUUUGUUCAGCGUUUUUGUUUUUGUUUUUGUUUUUGUUUUUUUGUAACUUUUUGCUUUAUAUUUAUAUUUUAUAAUAAAAAUUAAUUAAUUAAUAAAUCAUAAAAUUCGGGUCUGGUUUUCGGAUAUUCGGGUUUAGCUGAACCCAGAACUCAACCCGGAAACAUCCGAGUUUUAAAAAAGGCUUUCGGAUUUCGCAUUUUUAUACAUCUGGACCGGGUUGAACUCAGACCGAAUCAUUCGGGUUUGUUCGAGUCAGGUCUAGAAAAAUUUGCCAUCCCUAGUCAUGUUAAUAAGAGAAUAACAUCAAAGAAUAACAACAUAAAUGAAUUGCUGAAGCCUAG